UGAUUGAGUAAUUUAAUGGAAAUAAUUUCUAGUAUUAGAAGGUCAAAAUGGAGCUUUUAUCAGCAUCUUUGGACCUUUGAGACAUUAUAGAUAAAAGUGAAGAGCCUCCAAGCAUACAUUCAGAUGCUAAAAAAAUAAAAAAAUAAAAAAUAAAAAAUAAUUCAAAAGACGUGAAAAAAAGGCUUUUGGCAUAAUUGCUAUCAAGAACAAGAACUUUUCCAACAUCAUCUUUACAAGGAAGAAAUUCUUUACUUGCAAGAUAGAAGAAGGUAAAGGUCUCAUGGUUUAUGUCAAUAAGAUAAAGGCUCUUACAAUCUAACUAGCAAUUUUUGAAAAGCCUUUAAAAGAUGGUGAUAUUUUCAU
rnacentral:lncRNA from 1 species